GCCGGGAUAGCUCAGCUGGGAGAGCAACAGACUGAAGUGGUUUAGCAUCGGAUUUCUGGAGGUCGCGUGUUCAAUCCACGCUCCUGGCA